rnacentral:rRNA from 1 species
UACAGAGGGUGCGAGCGUUGUCCGGAAUCACUGGGCGUAAAGGGCGCGUAGGUGGCGCGACAAGUCAGUGGUGAAAGUUCGACGCUCAACGUCGAAUCGGCCACUGAUACUGUUGGGCUUGAGCACUGUAGAGGCUAAUGGAAUUCCGGGUGUAGCGGUGGAAUGCGUAGAGAUCCCGAAGAACACCGGUGGCGAAGGCGGUUAGCUGGGCAGUUGCUGACACUGAGGCGCGACAGCGUGGGGAGCAAACAGG